rnacentral:rRNA from 1 species
UCCGGGGGGGGCAAGCGUUGUUCGGAAUUACUGGGCGUAAAGGGCUCGUAGGCGGCCAACUAAGUCAGACGUGAAAUCCCUCGGCUUAACCGGGGAACUGCGUCUGAUACUGGAUGGCUUGAGUUCGGGAGAGGGAUGCGGAAUUCCAGGUGUAGCGGUGAAAUGCGUAGAUAUCAGGAGGAACACCGAUGGCGAAGGCAGGUCUCUGGGCCACUACUGACGCUGAGAAGCGAAAGCAUGGGGAGCGAACAGG